AAACUCACAUUGCGCGUUAUGAAACGUAUUCUCGUUUGCUUUAAUCCCUAAUCUACCCUCGCCUGUUGUUAUUACGGGUAGCAGGUGGCCUUAGACUAAGUGCACCGUGAAGGACAGAGGACUUGUUUGACGAUGAAAAAGUUUGGUUUCUGCUGUUGAAUAUUUCAUUCUGAGCCAUAAUUUUAACUAAGAAAUCAUCAUUUAUCUACUAAUCUCCUAUGUCGUUAUGAACUAAUCCAAAUCAUGUUCACAGUUGCAAGCUCUUGGAAUACUUAAGAUCAACUGAAAACUGGUGCAUCUUUGUUCGUUGGUUUUUAUUUCUACCACAGUGUAAUAUUUACACCAUGAUUUUUUACGAACAAAUUUAGCAGUGACGCUCCCAUCAGUUUUCGAAAUAUCUUUGAACAUUUGUAUGCAUACAAUUACAAUUACAAUAUUUAUUGGAUUUUGUGAAAAUUUUUUCUGGCUUAUGAUUUUGUAAAAUGUUUUCGGCAGAACAACAACAAAUCUUGAGAAAUCGCCGCCGUAUGUCCGCGCUAACAGCGCUACAACAGAGAAUCACAGCAAAUAGUGCUCAGUCAGAUCGAUUUCAUAUGGUCAAAAAGCAAACUCAAACCUUGCGUGAGUUUUUCGAGGAUUUACAGGUGGAGGAAAAUCGUAUAAAACGAGAAAUUCUAAAAAUCGCACAAAAAAUUAAAAAGCUGGAAAAAGUCGCCGUGGAGGAUGUGGAGGAAUGUCAAAGCGCAUGGAAGUGAAAUUGAUAAAUGGUUUUAUCGAAAUUUUUAAACAUAUUUAUUUAACUGGUCUAUGUAUAGGAACGAAAUAAAAUUGUAGCUUAAAUUGAUGCCACUGAGCUGAGCAGUUCAGCAUUGUAGCUCGUUGAGUACUUUGGUGGAUAUAACUUUUAUUAAUAUCGACAAAGUUAAAGAAGCUCUGCAUGAAAAUCGUCGUGUUGUUAUUAGAAAGAUAGUAGAAGAUGUCUAAUGGCUUGAUUAAAGACAUUUUGGUUCAUAAUUUGGGUAUGAAAUGUGUUAAUGCUAGAUACGAGUACAUACCAAAAGACCUGCACUUUUUUGCUGAUGGCACUGAAAGCCAUUCCAUUGCGAAAAAAAUUGGAUUCAGUGUUGGUACGCUUGUAUUGGUUUAGAAAGCUCUUUUGAAGGCGAUAAUAAAGAUUUAAAAUGAAAUACUUGAAAAUAGAUAUUUAUUAUGAUAUAUCUAAAGAUCAGUUGUAAUCUAACUAAUAGUCAUAUAGAUGUUUCUUUUCGGAUAAAAUGGCCAUUGCAAGUAGCAAGUAGAACUACCUGAGAGUUCCUUAAAUAAGUAGUUGAGGCUUAGAGUCCUCGUCAGCUUAGAUAUAUCGUCUUCACGCACUGUAAAACUUUCAUAACACACACUAUCUCAUUAAAGAGCAGGCAUUGUAAAUAUAAAAUACACUUUAUUGUUAUGUUUUUUUGACUUAUGUACAAAAAAUGACUUAUACAUUUUCUCUUUAUUUCUUCUUCAAGCAAAAGUUAUACAUAAGCAAAAUCUUUAACUUAAAUAUCAAAAUUUUUGAACUCGAACGAUUUUAGCAUUGAAUUUAAAGCAUAUUUUGCACUGUUAAACCUGAGUACGUUGAAUACCACACGCUAACAUAUAUGUCACGUAUUACGAGGAAAGUGCUGACGAACCAGAAGAAUAUGGCUUUGUUAAAAUUUUUUGUCCGUCCCAUUGCCUGCACAGCGGGGAAUCAAGGUUACAUAAAAUCGCAAAAUUUGAGACUACGCUGCAUGUUCAAGAGCUUACAGGAGGAACAAACUCAAAUGAAAUUAAAAUUUCCGUUUAAUUACAAGGAGGCGCACAUAAUAGAUGUGCAGUCCCGCAAAUUUCCUUUCUAUAGCUCUCGAUAGAGGCGUAUAUUUCUACAAAGCAGACCAAUGCCAUAACAAAUUGUGUCAUAUAGUAGAUAAACUUUUAUGUAAAAAAUUUUUUGGAUGGUUAGAUUUUUAAGUGUUUGUACAGUGGAGAUGAGUGGUGUCGUCAUGUGGAAAUACUUAAAAGCUUGAUCAAUAAAUAAUAUGUGCAUUUUAAAA